UACGACUACAUAUCAGGCAUAUCAAUAAGCGGAGGAAAAGAAACUAACAAGGAUUCCCCUAGUAACGGCGAGUGAAGCGGGAAGAGCUCAAAUUUGAAAUCUUCAAGGUUCUACCUUGACGAGUUGUAGUUUAAAGAAGUGUUUUCGGUUAGAGGAGUAGUAAAAGUUCUUUGGAAUAGGACAUCAUAGAGGGUGAGAAUCCCGUAUUUGACUAUUCUUUCUAGCUUUGUGAUACACUUUCAAAGAGUCGGAUUGUUUGGGAAUGCAGUCCAAAAUGGGUGGUAAAUUUCAUCUAAAGCUAAAUAUUGGCGAGAGACCGAUAGCGAACAAGUACCGUGAGGGAAAGAUGAAAAGAACUUUGAAAAGAGAGUUAAACAGUACGUGAAAUUGUCAAAAGGGAAGCGUUUGACACCAGUGUUGUUUUCCGAAAAUCAAUUAAAAAUAGAUUCAUGCUGAGUAGUAUUGACCUCAUCAGCUUGCUGCUUAGUUUUGGGUCAUUUUUUGAUUGCACUUUUCGGUUAACAAGUCAACAUCAAUUUCUUUUGCCGUAAAAAGGUAGAAGGAAGGUGGCUUUAGUUUCGGCUGAAGCGUUUAUAGCCUUCUGCCCCUGCGGUCGGAGAGAUUGAGGUCUGCAGCGUAGAUCCUUCGGGGCUAGAUACGUUUGUGCUAAGUUAUAGCUUUGUAUAGACAACAUGUUGACUAUGCUUAGUCAUGUAGCUUACUCGCAGAUAGUAUUUUACCUACGCUUAGGAUGUUGACUGAUAUGUAGUCGUA
rnacentral:rRNA from 1 species